CCCAAGGAUAGGGCCGCACCCGAUCAGGUCGCUGGUGAGGUAACGGCUCACCAGGCCUAUAACCGGUACGGGCCGUGAGAGCGGGAGCCCGGAGAUGGGCACUGAGAUAAGGGCCCAGGCCCUACGGGGCGCAGCAGGCGCGAAAACUCCGCAAUGCGCGAAAGCGCGACGGGGUCAUCCCGAGUGCCGUCCGCUGAGGGCGGCUUUUGCCUGGUUUAACCAGCCGAGUGAAUAAGGGGAGGGCAAGUCUGGUGUCAGCCGCCGCGGUAAUACCAGCUCCUCGAGUGGUUGGGACGAUUAUUGGGUCUAAAGCGUCCGUAGCCGGCCGGAAAAGUUUUCCGUUAAAUCCAACGAUCCAAUCGUUGGGCCGCGGGGAAUACUCUUCGGCUUGGGGGCGAGGGAGGUCGGCGGUAGUCUCGGGGUAGGGGCGAAAUCCUAUAAUCCCGAGAGGACCACCAGUGGCGAAGGCGGCCGACUAAAGCGCGCCCGACGGUGAGGGACGAAAGCUGGGGGAGCGAACGGGAUUAGAUACCCCGGUAGUCCCAGCUGUAAACGAU
rnacentral:rRNA from 1 species